rnacentral:rRNA from 1 species
GACGAACGCUGGCGGCGUGCUUAACACAUGCAAGUCGAGCGGAAAGGCCCCUUCGGGGGUACUCGAGCGGCGAACGGGUGAGUAACACGUGAGUAAUCUGCCCUGCACUUGGGGAUAACCACCGGAAACGGUGGCUAAUACCCGAUAUGACACGGUCUCGCAUGGGAUCCGUGUGGAAAGUUUUUUCGGUGCAGGAUGUGCUCGCGGCCUAUCAGCUUGUUGGUGGGGUAAUGGCCUACCAAGGCUUCGACGGGUAGCCGGCCUGAGAGGGUGACCGGCCACACUGGGACUGAGACACGGCCCAGACUCCUACGGGAGGCAGCAGUGGGGAAUAUUGGACAAUGGGCGGAAGCCUGAUCCAGCAACGCCGCGUGAGGGAUGACGGCCUUCGGGUUGUAAACCUCUUUCAGCGGGGACGAAGCGCAAGUGACGGUACCCGCAGAAGAAGCACCGGCCAACUACGUGCCAGCCGCCGCAGUAACAC